AGCAGCCGCGGUAAUUCCAGCUCCAAUAGCGUAUAUUAAAGUUGUUGCAGUUAAAAAGCUCGUAGUUGAAUUUCGGGGUUAGUAGGUUGGUCAUGCCUCUGGUAUGUACUGGUCUCACUGAUUCCUCCUUCCUGAUGAACCUUAAUGCCAUUUAUUUGGUGUUUUGGGGAAUUUGGACUGUUACUUUGAAAAAAUUAGAGUGUUUAAAGCAAGCUAACGCUUGAAUACAUUAGCAUGGAAUAAUGAAAUAGGACGUUCGAUCCUAUUUUGUUGGUUUCUAGGAUUGACGUAAUGAUUAAUAGGGAUAGUUGGGGGCAUUAGUAUUCAAUUGUCAGAGGUGAAAUUCUUGGAUUUAUUGAAGACUAACUACUGCGAAAGCAUUUGCCAAGGAUGUUUUCAUUAAUCAAGAACGAAAGUUAGGGGAUCGAAGACGAUCAGAUACCGUCGUAGUCUUAACCAUAAACUAUGCCGACUAGGGAUCGGGAUGAUGUUAAUUUUUUAAUGUACUCAUUCGGCGCCU
rnacentral:rRNA from 1 species